CAGCCUCCCAAAGUGCUGGAAUUACAGGCAUGAGCCACCACCCCUGGCCUGGACAUUUUUUAGUAUAUGGUUUAAAGAAGGUAUUUUUUUUUCCUUCCAACAAAUUACUAAAUUUGUCCUAACACUGUUGUUGGUGAAUUCCCUUUUUUCUUGCUGAUCCCAAAUUUCAUCUUAAUCGUAUACUUAGUUCUUAAAUCUACCAAGCUAUUUUUCUUGGUUUUCCAUUGCGUUCCAUGGAUCUAUAUUCCUAGUCUUGUGGCAACACAACACUUUUUACAUUAUUGUAGGUUUAUAUGUUUUAAUAUUUGUUUCCUUACAUAAAAAUUUAAAAAACUGUUUUAAAUGUUUUAUUGAAGUGUAAUAUACAUAGGAAGAGUCCACAUUUCAUAAGUGAAUGGCCCAAUAAAUUUUCACAGACUGACUGUGUCAGCCUAAGCCAAAUCAGGAAAUACAGCAUUACCAGCACCCCAGAAGCACCAUCCUACCAUCAAACCAUCAACCUCUUCCAGCUGAUGCCCACUCCAAGGGUGACGAUGUCUUGACUUUGAUCAAGAUUGGUUUUGCCUAUUGUUGGACUUUAUGUAAUAAGAACCAUAUGGCUUCUCCUUUUGUAUUUGUCUUCUUCCAUUCAACUUUAUGUUUUUGAGAGUCAUCCAUAUUGUUGAGUAUAGUUUUAAAUUGUUCAUGCCCAUUGCUGUAUAGUAUUUCUUUGUGUAAAUAUGCCAUGAUUGAUUCUUUCAUUCUACUAUUGAUUUGUAUUUGGGUAGUUUCCAAGCUUGGAACUACUACAAAUAAUGCUGCUAUGAAUGUUCUAGUACCUUAUGUGAACAUAUGCAUGCAAUUCAUUGGUGAGCAUAUGUAUGCACUUCUGUUCAAUCUAUUCCUGGGAGUAGAAUUACUGGGUCACAGAGUAUGUAUAUAUUCUUUAUAGCAGAUACUCACAGAUAGCUUUCCAGAGUGGUUGUAGUAAUUUACAAUCCCAUUAGCAGUAUUUAAGAUGUCCAGUUGCCUACACCCUUACCCACACUUAGUACUUUCUGUCUUAUUUAUUUAGCUAUUCUAGUGUGAGUGAUACUGAGGUUUGAAUUUCCAUUUUCAUGAUGACUCAUCAGGCCAUACACAUUUUUGUAGCUUUAUUGGUCAUUUUUAUAUCUAUGUAACUGUAUCUUCAAGUUUUUUGCCUUCUUUUUAUUGAGUUGCUUUAAAAAAAAACUGACUACUAGGAGAUCUUCAUAUAGUUGGGAUUUGUGUUCAUUGUUAGAUAUGUAUGUUGUAAAUAUCAUCUUUUACUCUUUGGGUUGCCUUUUCACUCUUUUGUGUCCUUUGAUGACACCAUUAACGUUUUAAUACAAUCUAAUACAUUACUUUUUUCUCUUACGGUUGCAUUUUUGGUAACAUGUUUAAGAAAUCUUUGUCGUCUCCAAUAUCAUAAUCAUGUUUUCUUAUAUAAGCUUAAUGUUUCUUAUCUUCAGAUUUAGAUGUGCAAUCCACUUGCAAUUGAUUUUUUUAAUUAUAGUUUAAGUUCUAGGGUACAUGUGCACAACGUGCAGGUUUGUUACAUAUGUAUACAUGUGCCAUGCUGGUGUGCUGCACCCAUUAACUCGUCAUUUACAUUAGGUAUAUCUCCUAAUGCUAUCAAUUGAUUUUUGUGUAUGAUGUGAGGUAGAAGGAUAAAAUAUAUCCUUUCAUAUGGGUAUCCAACUGACCCAGAACCAUUGAUUAAGAUGCCUGUCUUUUCUCCACUGCCUAAGAGAUGCACACUGUAUGAAUGAAUAUUACACAGCAAUGAGCAUGAAUGAUUUAAAACUAUAUUUGACGAUAUGGAUGAAUCUCACUAACAAGGUUGAAUGGAGGAAGACACAUACAAAAGGGCAGCAAAUAUGAUUUUUUUGUAUGUCACAAAUCAGGCAGCCAUGUAUGUGGAAGACUGUAACCACUGUAUUUUUUUUUUUUUUUUUGAGACAGAGUCUCACUCUGUCACCCAGGAUGGAGUGCAGUGGUGCAGUCACAGCUCACUGCAGCCUCAACCUCCUGGGCUCAAGCAAUUCUCCCACUUCAGCCUCUGGAGUAGCUGGGACUACAGGCACAUGCCACCACGCCUGAGCUAAUUGUUGUGUUUUUUUUGUUUGUUUUUGUUUUUGUUUUGUAGAUAUAGAACCUUGACAUGUUUCUCAGGCUGGUCUGAAACUCCUGGGGCUCAAGCGAUCCACCUGCCUCCACCUCUCAAAGUGCUGAGAUUACAGGGCCUAUGGUUCAUCCUGCAAUAUCAGAGAAUACACAACUGUUGGAAGCUCAUUUGUGCAGAAGCACUAGUUAGACCAAGUCCCAGGAUGGUGGGGACUUGAACUGCCUCAUGCACAUUGUACCCAAGAGCCUGGCCCAUGAAGGUGAAUCAGUGGAUACUUGAAUAAAAAGAAGAAUAUGCGCUGAAGUUUUCUUUGAGGACAUUUUUUUUUCUUUCCAUAGUUUUGAGCAUCUCUGAUGUUUUGAGAUUUCUGCCAGUCUUUGAGGAUGUAAUGCUCAAUUAGACUUGUUCUCUGUCCUCAAAGAGCUUAUAUAAUAGUUAGUGAGCUAAUUCUCCUGUUUUGAGAGACAGGAGAAAAUGUUAUGUUAUAAUGAGUCAUUCAGACUCUAUCUACUAGGCCUGACUUUGUUACUUUUUAAAAAGCAUUCUUCCACUCCUGCUUGGAUAUCUCUGUAUACAAGACUCAGAGACACGUAUGACGCCCCUUAGGAGGGGUUCUGACGUGCAAAUUUCUGAGACCCAGAAGCACCUACCUUCCAUUUUCCAAUGCCCCAAAUUCUAUGAAAACCACGAGCACAUGCAUUCGUUCCCAUGUUCUCGGGUGCCUCGCCUAUCAGUCAAGGGUCACAAGAUCUGCAGGGCAGUUGCUUUCAAAAUAAAAUGGAUGUGAAAACAGCUGAAGCCCAGCGAGCACUUGAUAACUGCUUCUUUUGAAGGCAAAAUAAGAUUAUUCUAUGAGGUAACAGGCUCCUUCUGGGCUUAAGUAGGCAUAGGGUUUACAGUGUAGAUUCUUGUGCUAUGGUUUUCCCAUAAAAGAGGGAAACCUUGAAAUCACAGCACUUUUGUGGUAGGGAGGAUUUCAAGCAGUGCUUAAUAAGGUGUACAUGACCAUAGCAGAGUGUCCCCCCCCAUCUCAGGGAAAAGGCCCCUGAAAUUAAUCAUGAGAAUCCUCUCCUGUCCCCAGGGACCUAGAUGAACCCUGACUAAUGAAUAUUUAAAUCUCACUCUUUGUCUGCUCUCACACUCAAACCCUGAUUCAUGACUGUAUGCUUUCCAUUUGGCAUGGAACAGAGAUCACAAGUCCACAGGGUAUAGCUCCAUGCCACCUGGGGCUCCUUUAGACAUUAGUAUUAU
rnacentral:lncRNA from 10 species